rnacentral:rRNA from 1 species
GACGAACGCUGGCGGCGUGCUUAACACAUGCAAGUCGAACGGAAAGGCCCUGCGUUUGUGGGGUGCUCGAGUGGCGAACGGGUGAGUAACACGCGAGUAUACUGCCCUUGACUUUGGGAUAACUUCAGGAAACUGGGGCUAAUACCGGAUAGGAGCUCCUGCUGCAUGGUGGGGGUUGGAAAGUUUCGGCGGUUGGGGAUGGACUCGCUGGUUAUCCGCUUGUUGGUGGGGUAGUGGCUUACCAAGGCUUUGACGGGUAGCCGGCAUGAGAGGUUGAACGGCCACAUGGGUACUGAGAUACGGCGCAGACGGGUACGGGCGGCAGCAGGGGGAAGUAUUGCGCAAUGGGGGGGAGUCUGAUGUAGCGACGCCGGGUGCGGGAUGACGGGCUUCGGGUUAUAAACCGCUUUCGCAUGUGACGAGGCGUGAGUGACGGUAAUGGAUAAAGAAGCAACGGCUAACUACGUG